rnacentral:rRNA from 1 species
GACGAACUGCCCAAACGUUGUUCGGAUUCAUUGGGCGUAAAGGGUGCGCAGGUGGUCGGGUAAGUCUGACGUGAAAUCCCGGCAGCUUAACUGCGGAAUGGCAUUGGAUACUAUUCGGCUAGAGGGUUGGAGGGGGACUGGAAUUCUCGGUGUAGCAGUGAAAUGCGUAGAUAUCGAGAGGAACACCAGUGGCGAAGGCGAGUCCCUGGACAACUCCUGACGCUGAGGUGCGAAAGCGUGGGGAGCAAACAGG